CCUACGGGAGGCAGCAGUGGGGAAUAUUGCGCAAUGGGCGAAAGCCUGACGCAGCGACGCCGCGUGAGGGAUGAAGGUCCUCGGAUCGUAAACCUCUUUCAGCAGGGAAGCACGGUCGCUGUGCUAAUCAGCGGUGAAUUUACCGUACCUGCAAGGGACGCACCGGCUAACUCCGGGCCAGCAGCCGCGGUAAUACGGGGGGUGCGUGCGUGGAUCGGAAUUACUGGGCGUAAAGCGCUCGUGGGAGGUAUGUCAAGUCAAGGGUGAAAUCCCCGCGCUCAACGUGGGAACUGCCUUUGAAACUGGCAGACUGGAGUGUGUGAGAGGAUAGUGGAAUUCCAGGUGUAGGAGUGAAA
rnacentral:rRNA from 1 species